CUUGUAGCUGUGCACGGGCCGGUUGCUGAGGACAUUUUUGAAAUCGGCCAGCGUGACUUUCUCCGGCGGCACGGGCAGCUUCACCAGGCUCUGCAAGCACCCCGGAGUGCUCCUGGCAUGGGAAGUGCACCACGAAUGCAUCAGUGGGAAAUUUCCCUUUGGUGGGAUCAUAACUCUGCCAUGAGCAACAUUUUCUGAGCUCCUGAGCUUUAUGGUGUUCUUGCAGCAUGAAACUCGGGCAAAACAUUAACAUUUGGUCCCCUCAGUUGGUACUUUAUGACCUCCUGGGCUCCUCAGGUGCCCUCCCUGAACCUGCUGAGAGCUGUUCUUGCUCCCUGAGCUUCCCUUUCACUCCUGACAGCUGGAAAUAAUAAUUGUCAGCUGAUUACCCCACAGCAGAGCCAUCAGGCUGGCUCUGGGACUCACAAAAAGCUCCCCAGAAAGCACAGAAGAGAGGAGAUAACUUUCAUGCUGCAGUCAAGGCAGCAGCUAAUCCAAUUAAAGAGAGGACACAGGAAAGCAGGAUACACCCCUGGCCCAGCAGGGCUAAAACCUCGUGUCCAGCACAGCUCAGGCCUUAACACUUCAGCAAAAAAUAAAUAAGAGGCACGAAAUCUCCUGCU